rnacentral:rRNA from 1 species
UACGGGGGGGGCAAGCGUUGUUCGGAAUUACUGGGCGUAAAGGGCGCGUAGGCGGCCUAUUAAGUCGGACGUGAAAUCCCUCGGCUCAACCGGGGAACUGCGUCCGAUACUGGCAGGCUUGAAUCCGGGAGAGGGAUGUGGAAUUCCAGGUGUAGCGGUGAAAUGCGUAGAUAUCUGGAGGAACACCGGUGGCGAAGGCGGCAUCCUGGACCGGCAUUGACGCUGAGGCGCGAAAGCCAGGGGAGCAAACGGG